ensembl:rRNA 5S_rRNA 5S ribosomal RNA
GUUUACGGCCAUACCACCCUGAGAACGCCCGAUCUCGUCUGAUCUCGGAAGCUAAGCAGGGUCGGGCCUGGUUAGUACUUGGAUGAGAGACCGCCUGGGAAUACCAGGUGCUGUAAGCU